CCUACGGGUGGCAGCAGUGAGGAAUAUUGGUCAAUGGCCGGAAGGCUGAACCAGCCAAGCCGCGUGAAGGACGAAGGUGCCAAGCAUUGUAAACUUCUUUUGUCAAGGGACAAAAUCAGGCUCGAGAGCCUGACCGGCGGUACUUGAAGAAAAAGCAUCGGCUAACUUCGUGCCAGCAGCCGCGGUAAUACGGGGGAUGCGGGCGUUAGCCGGGUUUAUUGGGGUUAAAGGGGGCGUAGGCGGGCUUUUAAGUCAGCGGUAAAAGCCCGGGGCUCAACCCCGGCGAGCCGUUGAAACUGGCUGUCUUGAGAUGUCGAGAGGUAUGCGGAAUGCGCAGUGUAGCGGUGAAAUGCUUAGAUAUUGCGCAGAACUCCGAUUGCGAAGGCAGCAUACCGGCGGCGAUCUGACGCUGAGGCACGAAAGCGUGGGUAUCGAACAGGAUUAGAUACCCUUGUAGUC
rnacentral:rRNA from 1 species